rnacentral:rRNA from 1 species
GAGACGCUGGCGGCACGCUUAACACAUGCAAGUCGAACGAAGCAAUUUCACCGUAGCUUGCUACACCGAAAUUGCUUAGUGGCGGACGGGUGAGUAACGCGUGGGUAACCUGCCUCAUACAGGGGGAUAACAGUUAGAAAUGACUGCUAAUACCGCAUAAGCGCACAGUACCGCAUGGUACAGUGUGAAAAACUCCGGUGGUAUGAGAUGGACCCGCGUCUGAUUAGCUAGUUGGUAAGGUAACGGGCUUUACCAAGGCGACGAUCAGUAGCCGGUCUGAGAGGAUGAACGGCCACAUUGGGACUGAGAUACGGCCCAGACUCCUACGGGAGGCAGCAGUGGGGAAUAUUGGGCAAUGGGGGAAACCCUGACCCAGCAACGCCGCGUGAAGGAAGAAGGCCUUCGGGUUGUAAACUUCUUUUACCAGGGACGAAGAACGUGACGGUACCUGGAGAAAAAGCAACGGCUAACUACGUG